UUCCGGGCUCCGUCCUCGGUGAACGCCGGUCCGGGGGGGCGGGGGUGGGCGUCCGGGCGGGGCGGGCCCUUAACUCCUUCCCCGCUGGCCCGCUGCAGUCGUCGCCCGGCUUUCUCCGCGCACUGUCCCUGGCCGGGCCCGGGGCUCCCGGCGCGGUGAGGCCACUGCGGGCCGCGGCCUGCCCCGGGGUGCGGGCGGACAGAGGCGCCCGCCUAGCUCGGCCCGCCGCCCGGUCCUCGCGCCGCCUCUCCGCCCCCUCCCGCCCCUCCUCCACCACCAGCUUUGAAGGCCCUUUUAUGGGAGAGAGGGAGGGUGUCACGUACCCAUUAGGGUUCUCGAUCCUUUUUUAAGGGAGUUUGGGCGGCAGCAGGAGGUGUGAAUUUUUGUACACCGCGUCUCUCCUUACUUCGAGCGCUUCUCACCGGCCUCUGGCGGGUGGCGGAGCGGACCGCCUCGCUCCCACCGCCUGGGCCGGCCAGGCCGACCAAAAAGAGCCGCACUUUCAGCUUCCGCCGGGUCAAGGACAGGGACCUCGAAGAGGGCGCUGAGAGCUCUCGCUCUCCUCAGCCACCGCUGUCCUCACCGGAGAGAUCUGCUCUGAACGCCCUCUUUACUUCUGUCCUCACCCUCGAUAGCCUGGAAGUGUGAGCCCGGUGUCCUCAGCUAACCUCAGAAUCCUCUGAGGAAAAGGGCCAGGACCGGGCGUAGCACCAGAGGGGCCCCGUCACCUGGUCCUGGGCAGAGAGGAGACCUGGUGGAUCUGGAGUAGAGCUGGGGGCCAGUGACCAAAGGCCCCAGCAGCACCAGCCGUCCCUACCCUCUGCCUCAUGCAGAAUAAUGGAAGAGAAGAAGGGGCCUAAUCUAGUUUGCUUACUUGAACCUCUGAGCGUCCUCUUGGAGAGAAAAGAUUGUGAGACACCUGGUCCCCUACAGAAGACUCGGAACUGUAUCAUCAGAGGAAAUCGGAACAGACAGGAUCCCCACAGCUCUCUGGUCCAGUUCUCCCGGUUUUCAGAGAAGGACCCUGAGAUCAGGGAGGAGGAUGUCUGCCUGUGGUCCCUCAGCAAGCAGAGGGAGCAUCUGAGACCAGGCUCCGGUCACCAGGCCCCAGCCCCACUCUUCCCCCACCCCACACUCCUUCUGCUUGUGCCUUCUAUUCUGUGACUAACCAGGGGGGAGGGAGCUGAAACAGGCUCCCACCGAAAUAGGCUGCUGCCUGUGCAUGAUUAUGUUGCUAUGAGAAACCCAGUGGGUGUGUUUCCUCCCUUCUCUGUUGAAAUCUUUUGCUUUGUUUGGCUUCUCCCCAAGCACAGCUAGGGCUCCCUUUGGAAUGGGGAGUGGAGAGGCUGAGAUGGAGAGCUGUAUUCCUAUGGCAAGAGCUUUCCACUCUGACCGGGCUAACCCAGAACUGGCCUGGGUCUGAGAGCCUCGCCAACAGGGUGGUCCCACAGUGGCUAGGGGAGGACGCAGAGGGCCAUGUUGAGAGUGGACUCUCCGGGCCCCUUGCUGAGCCUUCUUGGGACAGAGAGCUACUGCCCCACUCUGCAGCCUCCUACCUACAAAUUCACAAGCAAAAUAAUCUUACUUUAAGAAACUACAUUGUCAUACAGCUGGAGAUUGCUUGAACACUGCCUUGGAGGGUUAUGGAAUGUGUGAAAAGCGCCUGGCACACAGUAAGCACUUCGUAGCACUGUUCCCUCACCGGCCAGGUGCACUCAGGCUUGGUCCGUCUCUUUUGUACCAGUACAGUUAACGUAUGCUUUUACCUGGUUGGAUUGGUUUCAUCAUUCCACAUAGAGCCAGCUGGACAUCUCUAUAUACCCAAUGUAGGCUUGACAAAAGGCAACAAAAGACACUGGACUGAUGACUGGCGAGUUUGUAUUCUAGUCACUUUGGGUGCUUUCAUAUAUAUGAACUUUUGUAGAGCUUUUGAAGACUUAUGGAGCGACAAAGGCACAGAGAGUUCACCAGGGUGUGGGCUAAUUUGGGGCAAUAGAUGCUACCCAGUAAAGAAGUCUUGAAGUCACAACUUGCUUAUGUUAUUUUUCUUAUAUUAGACCUUCAACAAAACAAAAUACAUUAAACAUACAUGUAAUAUGCUUUGAGUAAUGCCUGUCAAUGGUAUGUUAACGUGUGCUAGGCUGUGCCCUAGGCACAUGAAUUAAACUUCACGGAGCACAUUUGCAUAUCAUAGACUCUUCUAGACUUCCAUAUGUUUUCAUGUAGUCCUUUCAAUAACUCUCUGAGGUAGGUACUAUUACUGUCCCCGUAUAACAAAUGGAAAAAGCAGAACCUGGAGAAUUGCCCACAGGGUAGAGUCAAGAGCCAGGAUGGAAAUCUAGGAUGUCUGCUGGUGUAACACAACCCUCAAGAAGCUGCCUGGGUUCAGGGAACAACUCAGGCUGCACCGUGUAAUCCACAGGAAACUAUUCUGCUUUGGUUCUGUCCCCAGGGACUGAUUUAGUGAAGUUUAGGUGUCAGGGUUCAAAUGACUCUAAUUCUAACGGGUAGUCAUGGCCAAGGACAGAUGGACAACAGUAUCUGGAGACUACAGAACUGCAGAAGAAGUUCUCUAAAGGAUAGGCAGAGCACUCAAGUCCCCAAGUCUUCGCAUCUAGAAAGGUCUGAGCCUAACAAAGCACCCGUUCUCGGGAGCCGCGGAGUGGAACAGGGUGAGCUGGCAGGCGAAGGUUGGAAUGAGACCAUCGGAAAGAGCUGAACUGGAAAAGUUGUCCAGCUUUUUGAGAUGCCACUGACGAAGCACGUUUCCAGGUGCUCAAAGGGUUCAGCUGGACUGAUUGGCUAAGAUGUGAAGAGGUAGACUGGACCGCUAAGCUUCCACCCACCUCCUGCUGGACCCCAGACCAUGAAGACUGUGUGACAGCUCAACUCCAGGGUCCAACCAACCCUUUCUUUGCUGCUUCCCCAAAUUUAGAGACCCAGAAGCAGGAUGCAGCUUCCCUAGGCCAGGGACCAUGCCGCCUGGGAGAACUAGAACUCCGGCUUAUUCCAGUGUGACUGCUGCAGCACAGGGACAUAUACAGGACAUUUCACCUGGCUUCCUACCCCCCACUCAGGGCCAGGGCUCAUUGCAGUGAAUCUGAGCCUCCUAAGAAUCAGGCCUCUGCCCCACGACCCGGCACCACCUUAUGGCAGCUAACCCAGGAGUGCUGAGUGUCUGGCCAGGCAGGAACCACGACAAGCCUGCAGCCGAAGCUACCUGGCUGGCAUCUACACAGCCCCACACACCUGGGCAUUUCUGCACAGAAGUCUCUGCAGCCCCAUUUCUCCCUAACCCAAGGCCACGUAUUUCUUAAACUCCAUUCCCAAGAACAGCUUGCGAGACUGCCAUGAGUGUCUGCAGAGCAGUUUGAGCCUCAUUUUUUCUUUUUUGUUUUUGCCAUUAAAAUUGGAAUGUUAUUUCUUCCUUGCUCUGAUAUUUGAUUAAAUCAAUUCAUUGAGGAUUUGAGUUGCAUAUAAUGCUAUGUGGUUUGUUUAUUUAAUAACAUCUGGGAAGCAUUUUGUAAGUUCUGUGGUGAUAGUUUAAUCCUUGGCAUUUUAUGAGCCUAAAAAGUCAAAUUCUGUUUCUCUCAGAUGAGGAGGACCCAAAAGACAUCUACAUAUAUUUUUCCCAAUGGCCUUUGAUGGGACCCAAACCUCUUUAGAAAAAGGGGAAGUACAGAAACAGAGCCCCAAAGGUACUGAAAUAUUAUAAAAUGUCAUCACAGCAGAAUUAGAUUUUUCUGCAUAGUGGAGAUUGUACACUCCUUUCUCCCUUCUCAGAGUGCUCAUAGAGGCUCAUCUUCUAUGGAUAACCUCUUUUGAAUCCCCCGAAGCCAUUCACUCACCAGUCCAUCAGUCCAGUGCACUAACUCAAUACGUAUUUUUCUAUGAUACAUUAUAUGGCAAUAAUGAUAGCCAAUCAUGUGCUAGCGUUCUAGACUAAAAGACAAAAAAAAAAAAAAAUGCAACCCUGUCCUGGUGGCACACAUCUUCUUAACUAACUUUAA